UACGUAGGGUGCGAGCGUUGUCCGGAAUUACUGGGCGUAAAGAGCUUGUAGGUGGUUUGUCGCGUUGUUCGUGAAAUCUCACGGCUUAACUGUGAGCGUGCGGGCGAUACGGGCAGACUAGAGUACUGCAGGGGAGACUGGAAUUCCUGGUGUAGCGGUGGAAUGCGCAGAUAUCAGGAGGAACACCGGUGGCGAAGGCGAGUCUCUGGGCAGUAACUGACGCUGAGAAGCGAAAGCGUGGGGAGCGAACAGG
rnacentral:rRNA from 1 species